AGGGCUUGACAUCCGGCGAAUUCUGUAGAGAUACGGGAGUGCCCAUUAUUGGGAGCGUCGAGAC
rnacentral:rRNA from 1 species